UCCAAAUCUCAGUUCGCAGUGCCCUCUAGUGUAAUAAACUGAUUAUGAAAAAUAUAUUUGAUCCCUGCAGCUGAGAUUGCAAUUUGCGCUGUUUAUCUUGGGUUCGGCCACUUUCCUCUCUGGCAAUCCGAGCUCAUCAGUCCGGCAGCAAACACAUGGAGCAGAGGCGGCAGCACACAGCUGGGAUAUCUGCGUCCCAUCCUGACAAAAAGGACUGUGAUGAGUGCCAGUUCCUGACUGGACAUGGGGAGUAUUCGGUAAGAUCCAACUGAAGAGACACUGCUUCAGACACACUGCCCUGCCUUAGACAAACAGGAUUUGAACCCUGGGGUCACGGACCAGAGGAGACAAUUCUUCAGUGUUAUUAUCGGAAAUGGCUAAUAAUAGAUGACAAGAAAGCCAGAGCGUUCUUUUGGCGGAGUCUCCUUGUGUAGCAGCCACAGCCGGAGAAGACAGCCAUCCUCAACUUUUGGUAAAUCAUGAUUCCCAUAACUGAGCUGCGCUACUUUGUGGAUACGCAACCUACGUAUCGCAUCCUAAAGCCAUGGUGGGACGUGUUCACAGACUAUUUAUCGGUGGUAAUGCUGAUGAUCGCAGUAUUCGGGGGCACGCUUCAGGUCACGCAGGACAAGAUGAUCUGCCUGCCUUGCAAGUGGGUAGUUAACAAGACCUGUAGAAAGUAUUUCAAUGCCACAUUUUCUGUGCCCUUGACCCUUGAGCCUCAAGGAAUCCAGUACGACCUCGAUCGCCACCAGUACAACUAUGUCGAUGCUGUGUGCUAUGAAAACAGGCUUCACUGGUUCGCAAAGUAUUUCCCAUAUUUGGUGCUGCUGCAUACGCUCAUCUUUCUGGCUUGCAGCAACUUCUGGUUCAAGUUCCCUUGGACAAGCUCUAAACUGGAGCAUUUUGUGUCUAUCCUACUGAAAUGUUUUGACUCGCCUUGGACCACAAGAGCUCUGUCAGAAACCGUCGUGGAGGAAAGCGACCCCAAAGCUCUGGUGAAAAUGAACGGCUCCUUCGAUAAGAAGGCUUCGUAUGUGAGUGAAGAUGUUGAGGCGAGUGUUCCCAUGCUGUCGACCACCAGAUCUCGUAUAGAGCAAGGAAUCGUAGACCACUCUGAGACUGGUGUCCUGGACAAAAAGGAAGGUGAACAAGCAAAGGCAUUGUUUGAGAAGGUGAAGAAGUUUCGGAUUCACGUUGAAGAAGGCGAUAUAGUCUACCGACUCUACAUCCGACAGACUGUCAUCAAAGUUGUUAAGUUUAUUCUUAUUAUCUGCUACACCGGCUACUAUGUCCACAAUAUUCAGUUCAGCGUCGACUGCAACGUGGACAUCGAGAGUCUCACUGGUUAUCGCAUGUACAACUGUGCCCAUCCCUUGGCCACUCUCUUCAAGAUCUUAGCCUGCUUCUACAUUAGUCUAGUUAUCGUGUACGGGAUGAUCUGUGUGUACACCCUCAGCUGGAUGCUACGGCGCUCUCUCAAGAAGUACUCGUUUGAGUCCAUCCGAGAGGAGAGCAGCUACAGCGACAUCCCAGAUGUGAAAAACGACUUCGCCUUCAUGCUGCAUAUGAUUGACCAGUACGACCCCCUGUAUUCCAAGCGGUUUGCAGUGUUCCUUUCAGAGGUGAGCGAGAACAAACUUCGCCAGCUGAACCUCAACAACGAAUGGACUUUGGAAAAGCUUCGGCAGAGGAUCACCAAAAACUCCCAAGAGAAGCUGGAGCUCCACCUGUUCAUGCUCAGUGGGAUUCCAGACACGGUCUUUGACUUGGUGGAGUUGGAGGUCCUGAAGCUUGAGCUCAUCCCUGAUGUCACCAUCCCACCAAUCAUUGCCCAGCUUACUAACCUCAGAGAGAUGUGGCUGUACCACACACCCGCCAAAAUAGAGGCUCCAGCUCUUGCUUUUCUGAGAGAGCACCUGAAAUCGUUGCACAUCAAGUUCACUGACAUAAAGGAGAUUCCUCUGUGGAUCUACAGCUUGAAGAACUUAAGCGAGUUGCACCUUACUGGGAACCUUAGUGCUGACAACAAUCGCUACAUCGUCAUUGACGGUUUGCGAGAGCUGAAGCGACUGAAGGUUUUGAGACUGAAAAGUAACCUUACAAAGCUGCCUCAGGUGGUCACGGAUGUUGGAAUGCACCUCCAGAAACUGUCCAUCAACAACGAAGGCACUAAAUUGAUGGUGCUCAACAGCUUAAAGAAGAUGGUGAACCUGUCCGAGCUGGAGCUCGUCCGCUGUGAUCUGGAGCGCAUACCUCAUUCCAUCUUCAGCCUGCACAAUUUACAGGAGAUCGAUCUUAAAGACAACAACCUGAAAACCAUUGAGGAGAUCAUUAGUUUUCAGCAUCUUCAUCGACUUGUCUGUCUAAAGUUGUGGUAUAAUCAGAUUGCAUACAUACCUAUUCAGAUAGGUACUUUGGUCAACCUGGAGCGCCUCUAUUUGAACCGUAACAAGAUUGAGAAGAUGCCACAUCAGCUCUUCUUCUGCCGGAAGCUGAGGUUUCUUGAUCUGAGCCAUAACAAUCUGACCGACAUCCCAUCAGAUAUAGGGACUCUACAGAACCUUCAGUCCCUUGCUGUAACUGCCAAUAGGAUUGAGGCACUCCCCCCUGAGUUGUUUCUGUGUAAGAAAAUGCGAACACUGAACCUCGGAAACAACUGCCUGCAUUCCCUGCCGUCACGGUUUGGGGAGCUCACCGGUCUGACGCAGCUGGAGCUGAGGGGAAAUAGGCUGGAAGGCCUUCCUGUAGAACUUGGGGAGUGCAGAUUGCUGAAGAGGAGUGGUCUAAUUGUGGAGGACAGUAUUUUCAACACUUUACCUUCAGAGGUCAAAGAGCAGCUGUGGAGAACUGACAAAGAGGCUUCUUGAAGCAGAUGCAUGAACCUGAGAGCACUUGCCUAUGUGAAGAUUUUAAAUGGCACAGCCAUGGCAUUUCUGAUGAUAGACACUGAGGAGUGAGCAGAUCAGAUGUUACAUCAGGAUUAAGGUGCUGUUCAUUUUUGCCUUAAUAUACUCAACACUAUUCAGUUACUGUAUCUUAUUAUAAACAUUAUGACUAC